rnacentral:rRNA from 1 species
UACAGAGGGUGCAAGCGUUAAUCGGAAUUACUGGGCGUAAAGCGUGCGUAGGUGGUUUACUAAGUCAGGUGUGAAAUCCCCGGGCUUAACCUGGGAACUGCAUUUGUGACUGCAAGACUAGAGUACGGCAGAGGGGGGUAGAAUUCCACGUGUAGCAGUGAAAUGCGUAGAUAUGUGGAGGAAUACCGAUGGCGAAGGCAGCCCCCUGGGUCGAUACUGACGCUCAUGCACGAAAGCGUGGGGAGCAAACAGG